UUGACAGUCUCAGAGAUCAAAGUCCUCGUUUUAUCAACUGAGCAGAUAUAGCACAGAGUAAAAUAUUUUCCAUCCACCCAAAUCACUGCUCUAGAGAUUUUGCCUGUAAAGGAUGAGAGGAUUUUUCAAGCUCUUUGCCUUUUUCUUUCUCUUGAGAGA
ensembl:misc_RNA